ACUGAACCAAAGGAGGGAGUUGUGGGAACCUCCAAUCUGUAGCCUCUGGGUUAGAAGCAUAGGAAACAACCUAAGCUUUCAACUGGCAUCUUCUGGGAAUGAGCCCUUAACCUGUGGAAUUCGAUGCCAUCUCCAGGUGGACAGAAUCAGAACUAUGUUGAAUUUUAGGAUGCUCACCUGGUGUCCAGGGAAUUACUUGGUGAUGAGGUGUGAGGAAAUCCCCCCAUCCCCACCACACACACAUUGGAAUUUGUGACCAGAAUUUUUAGUCACAUUUGCAGGUUCCGGCUGGAUGUGAAUUUUGGUGGGACACUAUUGAACCCAGUAAACGUAGUGAGAAAGAAAUGUAUUCUGAGACAGACCCAAGCUAAGGACAUUGUUGAGAAAGGCCUGGGUAAUUUUUCACAUCAUGUUAUCACAUCACAAAUAAAAGCUUAAAAUUAAAGAGGAGGAAAGCCCGUGUACUCGGAUGAAGAGUACCAGAUUCGUAGGCUGACAGCCUGAGUUUAAUUAAGGCCUGCGUGAUUGAGGCAGGGAUGUCCCCACCUAACAAUUUCCCAUUACUGUAGUAAUGGCUCUCCCCCAUGCUUUCCCCUCGCUCCUCUGCCUCCUGGCCAACUCUGGUACUUCUUCACGUGGCUCUGCAUGGUGUGGUGUGCCUCCUCCUCUUGGGAAUUGUAGAUUACUCCAUGUUUUUCAUAAACAUAGAAUCACAAAGAAGCCUUAGGCUGUUGGGAAGCAGAACAUGCUGGCUUACUAUUGCACAAAGACAAAGAUAUUCACCUGGAAGCAUACUCUACAACCAAAAGUCACACCAUCGAUAUUAUUAUCUGUUUGUUUGAGAUCUAUUGCCGUAAACUAUGGUCUGAAGCUUUCGGUUCCUCAAAGCUGAGUCAACAUUGUUGAAAAUCUUCAGUGGAUUUGAUAUAAACACUACCAAUGCAGACAUUUUAUGGAAGAAAAAGGCCUUGUUGUUAUGAUCAGUAGAGCAUCAUCUAGAAUAGUGAUGUGGAUGAAUUUCACCACUAGAGCACUAAAUUCACCCCUGAAAUAAUAACACACAAAACUCUGAGCCGAUAUUGAGUGUUAAGGAUGUCCUUUCAUGUUUCCUCAUGAAGAUGAAGAUUAACUGCGGCUUGCCAAGCAUUUACAGGAUAAUCUUGUUUUUACCUUCAAAAGGCACAUUAAAUGUGAUGAAGCCAGAUAGGCCAGCACUCGUAUUUGCAAUGUUAUCUCCUCUGGUGCAUACAUGCAGCUGAUGCACUUAUGCUGUUGGGGCACUUUAAUAGGUCACUCUAUCAGAAAAAAAGAUGAAGUGUUAAAGGCUGUAUUGGGGCCUGCUAAGUGUAAUCCAAUACAGUGGGUCUGAUCCUGUCGAGUGUGUGAGAUACCGCAGAGGUUGUUAGGCAGUCUGUAGAGCGAGCCCCCCUAAGCUCACUUGCUUCUGGUUUUGUGUGAUUAUAAAGCCCACAAGUCAGGGGCAUCCAGUCCAGUAUCACCAAGAAGGUGCCAACAAUACUGUCAAUGGAAUGAUGCAUUUCUGUCAGUUCCAAAGACUGAGAGAUGCUAUUAAAUGAAUCUCCUAAUUAGCUAUUUUAAAAACAGCUACUUGGAAUGAAUAUAGUUUUGUUGAUUUAAAAAAAAUGAAUCUGCAUAUAGUUCUAGCUUUCAGGAAAAUAUGUCAUUUGGAUGUCAUAAAUAUC
rnacentral:lncRNA from 1 species